CUUUGGAUCAGGAUCUAAAAGAGCAAAGACUUACUCCUAACAAAGAUGCUUGAAUAGGAAUGGAAAGCUGUUAAUCAGACUCUCCUGGCAGGCUGGAUGCUAAACCAAAAUGAUCAGCACACACACUGCCUUCACUUCAGCUAUGCCGUGGACCAGGUGAUGGUUUGGUAACUAAGGAGUCCUAGAAGUGUUACUGUCAUUCUUUGUAUUUGUUUCUGAUGCGUGUCAAAAGGUUACAGAUGCAACUGGUUUAACCGGUCUCGUGGCAAACACCUGGGGGAGCCCUGCUUGUUUCAGCUGUGGGGUGGGGAGAGGGAUGUGCCUCCUGCUGGGCUCUGCAGGGGAGGGAUGCAGGGGGCAGAGGGAUGGCUGUGUGGUCCUCACCUGGGGGCUGCUCUGCGUUGACAUCUCAGAAUCUCAGCCAUACCUCCACAGAAACCAGGAACUGCUAUCUGAUGAUGCGAAGCAACACGGGCUGAAAAUCUGCUCAGAAGAGCAAGUGGUGAAGAGCUGUUAUUGGAAGCCUUCUUCUCUUACUGCAGUAGUAGACUGAAGAAUAAAAUAAACAAAAAUAAUCA
rnacentral:lncRNA from 1 species